UCAUAAAGAAAGAAGAUUGUUAAUCAGAUGGUCGUUCCGAUAGACUGUUCGAGCACUGAGAUAAUUCAGGACCUUCUACCAAGAUCAGAUCUAAGUGACUCGAUUAAAAAAUUAUUAAAUAUAGAUUGAAUCAAAAUCAAGAUCAAUCAACAGAAUUCAUCAAUAAUAAAUUUUAAAGAUAUUCAAUAUGGCUAGGAUAAUCAGUUCAAUAGGCUACGUAGGCAUUAGGAUGAUUCAGGGCCUUUUUACCAAGGGUCAACUUGGAUCCUUAAAGCAGAAAGAUGAGACUCUAUUUUGAGAGCAUGUCUUUUUAGAGAGAGAAAAUGGAUGAAGAGAAAAAAAGUGGAGAGAGAAUGAGUUUUAUUCUUCUUAUUUCUUUUCUUUUCUUUUUUUUCAAAAGAGAAAUAAGGGACUAGAGUCCAGUCAUCGUCUAGAGGCAGAGAGAGGGAGGAGAGAGACAACUUCUCUCUCUUUUCUUCCUUUGUUUUUUUCUUUCUUUCUUCUUCUUUCUUUUCUUUUUUUUUCUUCUUCCAUUCUUUGGCCGAACAGGGGAGGAAGCAGAUGUGGUGGCUAAUGGUUGGAGGAUCGACAAUAGGUGGCAGCAACAGACGGCCGACAGUGGGCAAUAGUGGAUGGCUGGCAAUAGUGAUUAACUGCCAAAAAAACCAUGAAAAAAUAUCCAAAAAUAGGAGCUCACUGAGUUAUGGGGAGGCCUGGGUACUUGGCCUGGGGUUCGGCUUUAAGGGACGGUGACAUCGAUGGCUGAAAAAAGAAAAAAAAAGAAUACGGUCAAAAAUAGGAGAUGAAGUUGAACUCCCUUUUCAAUGAAUUUCUGACAAAACCAACGGCCUACGACAGUGCAUAGGAUUAUGGGAAGAAGGGAAAUUAAGAGAGGAGGUGGGAUUGGGGCUUAGCAUGGGCUUUGACGGUGUCUUCAACCUUGAUUUCAAGUGGGCAUGGUAACGAUAUGUCAUGGAUUCAAGUGAGAAAAAAGAUCUUUGCUUAGUGGAGUGCCUUGAAGGGAGAAGAAGAAUGGGAUUUAUGGAGGAUUUCCUAAGGUUUGGUAGCCUUAGGAGUUCGAUUCCAUGUCGGACUUGAUAGAGAUGAAGACUCCCACUUGGCUUUUUUUUUGUGGGCUGGGACAUGGGCCAACUUGUGACUUGGGUUGGUCCAAUUGGACUAGGCGAUCACAAAACCAACCUGGAGUAGUGUUGUGAAGAAUUUGAAAAACCAAUUAUGGAAGGCUUGUUUAAUACGAU
rnacentral:lncRNA from 1 species